GUACCAUGUUUGUACUGAUUUUCUUUAUUGUUUAGUUUUACAUUUUUUGGAUCUAACUUGAUUGGAUUUUGACAGUUGAGAAGGCCAAGUACUCCUACAUUGUUGGGUUUCUUCUCACUGUUUCACCUGAGUCCAUUCUUCUAGUUGCUGAGCAUGCAGCUGCAAAGAACAAGGUUUGUCAUUGUGGCAGGAGGUUUCAAUAUUCAAAUCCAGUUCAUCCCUCCGUUUAUUUAACAUGCUCCCUUUGCUAGUAGUACAUUUUAAUUCUCUCUAGUCUGUUGGUGGGUUGUUUUGCAGCUUGAAGCUGCUGCAGUCAACUUAGUUGCUGGAGAGAAACCUGGCGAUGUUUACUCAGAAAUUGCUUCAAGGUAUGGUGUAUAAGUAUGUACUGUUAACAUAGGACUUUAAAUUGGGACAAACUGAACAUGAUUUUUUUCUUCUUUAUUUGCAGACUUGUAUACUUUGACAUGCCAUGUAGAUCACACUUGCCUUUAACUGUCCAGAUUUGAGCUUAGGCAACACUUCAGAAACAACCUUCUGCAUGUGGACAUGGUUCAGCCGGUUGUUACUUCCAUUUACGACUAUUUCCGAGAGGAAUGUGAUUUUUGUCUAUAAUGUAUCUCUUGGUUAUUCACUCUAUUGCUUUGGAUAAUUAAUUUUAUCUUUUCUUAUAGUUUUACUGAUAUAAAGUUCUUUAUUUAAAUGGAAUACCUGCUACGACUCAGAGUUGCACAUCAUAGAUGGGAUCCCACAGCUUAUUUUUGUUCGUUCAAGCUACAACAUAGAGGUUUGGUUCUUUUGUUAGUUUUAUGUCAUGUUUCAAACAAGCAUUUCAGACCAGGUGACUGAAUCUCCUUAAUUUGAAUCUCUCAUGAGCCUGUAUUUUGGGAUGGUAUAGCCAUAUAAUUUUGUAUUAUUUUGCUUAAAUGUCAGGUGUUAAUUUGGAUUGUUAUACCCAGUUUAAGUGCUUCCACCACUUAGUUUGUGUAGGUUAAGCCAAUUAGCUUCUAUCUAACGUAAAAACCCUGAGUUCC
rnacentral:lncRNA from 1 species